rnacentral:rRNA from 1 species
ACGGAAGGCAGCAGUGAGGAAUAUUGGUCAAUGGGCGAGAGCCUGAACCAGCCAAGUCGCGUGAGGGAAGACGGCCCUAUGGGUUGUAAACCUCUUUUGCGAGGGAAUAAAGUGCGUCAUGCGUGACGUUUUGCAUGUACCUUGCGAAUAAGGAUCGGCUAACUCCGUGCCAGCAGCCGCGGUAAUACGGAGGAUUCGAGUGUUAUCCGGAUUUAUUGGGUUUAAAGGGUGCGUGGCGGGGGAUCAAGUCAGUGGUGAAAUGGUGCGGCUCAACCGUAGCAUUGCCGUUGAAACUGGUUUUCUUGAGUGCGAAUGAGGUGGGCGGAAUGUGUCAUGUAGCGGUGAAAUGCAUAGAUAUGACACAGAACACCGAUUGCGAAGGCAGCCCACUGGGACGCGACUGACGCUGAGGCACGAAAGUGCGGGGAUCGAACAGGAUUAGAUACCCUGGUA